AUUGGCACGCAGCUCGAGCAGCCCAUGCACAACUCGAGCUAAAUACCCAUGCCUUGCCACUUGAUGAUAAAGAAAGUAUGGGUUCGUUAGUUAAUAUAUUUAGUCAAAUACGCCGAGUACAACAUAUGUUCAGUUUUAUCACAUCUCAUAUAUGCAUUAUUGAUCUCAUCAAACAUUUUUGAAUGUUAACAUACAUAAACAAAAGGUCAUAUCGUAACUCCUAACAUACAUACAUGAAUGUUAGCACUGUCACUGUCCUAGGGGCAAAGAAUCUGCAUUGUUUCGUAACGAGUCUCACCACUUUCGUCUGUUCUUGUGGUUACUCUCAUAACCAUAGACAAUCUAUUUUAGGAAAGAUCGGGACGGUGUUGCAAUUACGCAUGUCAAGAGAAAGCUGAUCAGAUGCCAUAAGCCCAUAAUCAUGUGCGAAGAUGAAACUUAGAACGUGCCUUGCACUACAGUGAAAAUUUUUACCUCUCAUAUUUGCAGACCCAAUGGGUAAUAAGUAAUCCCAUAUGCACCCUUUCUCCGAGCCACAUCAUGGUCGCCCCCACGCUCGUCAGCACGCUUGCCUUCCUCACGCACACUGCUUAGUUUCGGCUUCACCACUAGCAAUAUUUAGUGAAUACAAAAAACACUGACCUAAAAUAGAUAAGCUUGAUUCUUCACUGCAGAGAAUAAUUUGGACGUAUUAGCAAAG
rnacentral:lncRNA from 1 species